rnacentral:tRNA from 1 species
GCCGGGGUAGCUCAGUUGGUAGAGCGAGGGACUGAAAAUCCCUGCGUCCCCUGUUCAAUUCAGGGCCUCGGCACCA